rnacentral:rRNA from 1 species
GACGAACGCUGGCGGCGUGCUUAACACAUGCAAGUCGAACGGAAAGGCCCUGCUUUUGUGGGGUGCUCGAUUGGCGAACGGGUGAGUAACACGUGAGUAACCUGCCCUUGACCUUGGGAUAACUUCAGGAAACUGGGGCUAAUACCGGAUAGGAGCUCCUGCUGCAUGGUGGGGGUUGGAAAGUUUCGGCGGUUGGGGAUGGACUCGCGGCUUAUCAGCUUGUUGGUGGGGUAGUGGCUUACCAAGGCUUUGACGGGUAGCCGGCCUGAGAGGGUGACCGGCCACAUUGGGACUGAGAGACGGCCCAGACUCCUACGGGAGGCAGCAGGGGGGAAUAUUGCACAAUGGGCGGAAGCCUGAUGCAGCAACGCCGCGUGCGGGAUGACGGCCUUCGGGUUGUGAACCGCUUUCGCCUGUGACGAAGCGUGAGUGACGGUAAUGGGUAAAGAAGCACCGGCUAACUACGUG